rnacentral:lncRNA from 1 species
AUCGAAUUCGCGUUUCUUUACCGUCAGAAUAAGUUACGUUAUCGACAAACUUAUUUCAGAAGUGACAUAAUUUAAUUUUCUUCAUCGACAAAAUAUUUCUUGUCCAACGUGUAAGUUUUCAUUGUUUAAGUCGAAGUUUUUUUAACACAGUAAAACAUUUUUUAUAAUCAACCUCUGUCAUUAGCAUUUUCAUUAGCUUCACACUAAUAUUUUAACGGUAAAGGAUCAAAUACGGGAUCUCCGAAAUUUCUAUCAUUUGUUACGGGGAAAUCAUUAUUCAAUCGAACAUAUGUCUUUG